GCGGCCGCGGGCUGCAUGGGCAGCGCCCGCGCUCCGCCGCCGAGCCGUCGCGGAGCCGCGCAGCCCUCGGAGCACGAAUAUAUACAGCCCUGCUCUGGGACACACCUCCAUUGGAUUUAAAAGACAGUCCUCAUCAGCACUGACUUUCAGCUAUGGAAUCGGGCAUCCCUCAGAAGGGCUUUAUUUGAAUCCCGGUGAUAUGCAGUGGUAGAAGAGUUCUUUAUGAAAGCGAUAAUGGGGACAGAGGAACGGUGACUUGAAGAUUCUUUCCUUGCAGUCAACACAUGUACUGUGGGUGCUGUGCCUUCCUCGGGGUGUGUGUACGUAGGCACAUACCAGUCAGCUUGCACUCUGUGGGUGAUAUUCUCUGAGGUGGACUGGGUCACCUGGGAGCUUCCGGGGUCCGUGAACGGGGACCACUGAUGAACGGGUGGUGCA
rnacentral:sRNA from 1 species